UGAUGGCCAAUACAUGUCUCUUCUUUCUUUCUUCUUUUAUUAUCGACUCUUCCCCACCGCGUCUAAUCUCGAUUUCCACAAAUCUCCCACCGCCUGCCGCCUCAAAUCUAUCGCCUCGCAUAAUAAGAACAUCAAGAACGUUUAUCGGUUAUCUUCAUCAAUACAGACCCUUCUUUUGGUACUAAAAUAAUCACUGUUUGAGUUGUGGAUCCCAUUCUACCAGGUUCUCCAUUGUUACGUGUUUCCCAUCGGCUUCUUCCAGAAAAGCACCACCGCCUACCAUCUGGGUUUUACCCAAUUUCAAUCUCCUCUAGCCAGUCCAUCGCUCUCUUCGCCACCAUGACACUCAAUCACAUCCUCCGCCAACACCGGUAACUGUAAGUUCUCUUCUUUUACCAUCUUCUUUUCUAAAUCUACUCCACUUGGACCUCCCGUUAUUCACUGCUCCCAGGUUCGAUAAUAUGCGAUGAAGAUCAACAGAGGAUAAGUAGUAGUUCUGGAAAAAAAGGAGGUAGCGAACGUAUAACAUCGAAUAGCUUUCAAGAAUUUCAAAGUAAUUUCUUCGAUUUCUUCCCUUUUUUGUU
rnacentral:lncRNA from 1 species